AUCUUGGUGCAGUGGCAGUGUCAUAGCCAAUGAGGUAUUUAUCCGAGGCACGAUUAUUGCUAAUUGAAAACUUUUCCCAAUACCACAUCAUGACAACUUGCAGUAUAGUUUGACAGUCUAUAUAGAGA
rnacentral:snRNA from 1 species